GGAGGAGGGCUGCGGCGGGCUUGGCGGGGAAGUGGCUGCACGGUCCCGGGCGGGGAUGACCCCAUCCCCACCUGCCUCCACCCCGGGUUCAGCAAACACAUAACCCCAGGAUCCAACCUGUGACCAUCUCACCUGACAAUGCCUGCUCCCCCUAAACACAGAGAAGGAAAUUAACUCCGUUCUAAUUAGGAAUCCCCCAGUCAUGUUUGAAGUCUGCAAGUCCGAACAGCGGGCGCAGCUCGGGGAGGAGACCGCCACUUGGAAUCCAACCACCCUCCAUCCCCAGCUCCAGCAUUCUUCCGUUAUUGCCCGCUGUCGAGGAGAUCAAACGGAACAUGACUGCUAAACGGACUUUUUUUUUCCCCUCUCCUUUCGUCUCUUCCUCUCUCACGCCAGGGCCAAUUUUCCAAGGAACUUAAAUCAUUACUGAAAGACGUCUAGGUCCACAGACACCAAGCCCUUUCAGAGACAGGCGUGGGCACCCAAAAGUGAAGCUCAGAAAAGCAGAGGAAACAUUCCUGGUUCCAAGAUUCAGCCAGCCCCACAUUCAGGGAGACUCUCAGCUACUUUGCUGGGUCUCCCCUUCCUUCUUGCCAUCUGCUUGGGGCUAGGCUGUCCCCAGGGUCCCAUUUCUGGAUUCUCUUUGGGCCUCCAACAGUCUGUGUGACCUUUGGUUAUGCCACAGGCAGGCCCUGUGUCCUUAGCAAACAGCACGUUCAUGUGCAAUCGUGUGCCUCUCUGAUGAAUGCUCUCUCCUCCAGAAGCCUUUCCUCAACCCUCCAAGCCCAAAUGGACCACUGCUUCCUCUGGAUCACUUUUUUCUUUUG